rnacentral:rRNA from 1 species
UGUUGAGGAAGAUAAUGACGGUACUCAACAAGGAAGUGACGGCUAACUACGUGCCAGCAGCCGCGGUAAAACGUAGGUCACAAGCGUUGUCCGGAAUUACUGGGUGUAAAGGGAGCGCAGGCGGGAAGACAAGUUGGAAGUGAAAUCCAUGGGCUCAACCCAUGAACUGCUUUCAAAACUGUUUUUCUUGAGUAGUGCAGAGGUAGGCGGAAUUCCCGGUGUAGCGGUGGAAUGCGUAGAUAUCGGGAGGAACACCAGUGGCGAAGGCGGCCUACUGGGCACCAACUGACGCUGAGGCUCGAAAGUGUGGGUAGCAAACAGGAUUAGAUACCCUGGUAGUCCACACUGUAAACGAUGAUUACUAGGUGUUGGAGGAUUGACCCCUUCAGUGCCGCAGUUAACACAAUAAGUAAUCCACCUGGGGAGUACGACCGCAAGGUUGAAACUCAAAGGAAUUGACGGGGGCCCGCACAAGCAGUGGAGUAUGUGGUUUAAUUCGACGCAACGCGAAGAACCUUACCAAGUCUUGACAUCCUGCGACGCACAUAGAAAUAUGUGUUUCCUUCGGGACGCAGAGACAGGUGGUGCAUGGUUGUCGUCAGCUCGUGUCGUGAGAUGUUGGGUUAAGUCCCGCAACGAGCGCAACCCUUAUGGUCAGUUACUACGCAAGAGGACUCUGGCCGGACUGCCGUUGACAAA